rnacentral:rRNA from 1 species
UGGGGAAUAUUGGACAAUGGGGGAAACCCUGAUCCAGCGACGCCGCGUGGGUGAAGAAGGCCUGCGGGUUGUAAAGCCCUUUCGGUGGGGAAAAAAAGCCUCGACCUAAGACGUCGGGGUCUUGACGUAACCCACAAAAGAAGCCCCGGCCAACUACGUGCCAGCAGCCGCGGUAACACGUAGGGGGCGAGCGUUGUCCGGAUUUAUUGGGCGUAAAGAGCUCGUAGGCGGUUUCGUAAGUCGGAUGUGAAAACUCCAGGCUCAACUUGGAGACGCCAUUCGAUACUGCGAUGACUUGAGUCCGGUAGGGGAGUGUGGAAUUCCUGGUGUAGCGGUGAAAUGCGCAGAUAUCAGGAGGAACACCGGCGGCGAAGGCGGCACUCUGGGCCGGUACUGACGCUGAGGAGCGAAAGCGUGGGUAGCAA